CCUUCUCCAACCUGCCAGGGUAUACCCCCCCUAGCCACCCAUAGAGUGGAGACACCCGACCAACAGCCUCUACGAAAGACCCCAUACUGGGUGCAGGAGGCUGUGUGGGGGAGCAUAAUAAACGAGAGUCAGGUGAUGCUCCAGCUAGGGGUCAUCAAACCGUCCACGAGACCUUGGGCCUCCCCAGUAUUCAUAGUCCCGAAGAAAG